UCGAGCGGUAGAAUUUUUAGCUCGCUAGAAAUUUGAGAGCGGCGAACGGGUGAGUAACACGUUGGUAUCUGCCCCCAAGUCAGGGAUAGCCAGAGGAAACUCUGAUUAAUACCGGAUAGUCUCUUCGGAGUAAAGAUUUAUUGCUUGGGGAGGAACCUGCGUUCUAUCAGCUAGUUGGUGAGAUAAAAGCUCACCAAGGCUAUGACGGAUACCUGGUCUGAGAGGAUGAUCAGGCACAAUGGAACUGAGACACGGUCCAUACUCC
rnacentral:rRNA from 1 species